AUGACUGCAUCUGUGACUACCACUGCAGGGCACACUAGUAAAACAACCUCCCUUGUAACUUCCACCGAAAGUCCCACCAGGAACACAACUGCCCCCUUGACUUCCACUGCAGGGCACACUAGCAAAUUGACUGCCCCUGUGACAUCUGCUGGAGGGGAUACUAGUAAAACAAAUGCCCCUGUGACGUCCGCUGGAGGGCAUACUAGUAAAUUCACUGCUCCUGUGACAUCUGCUGGAGGGGAUACUAGUAAAACAAAUGCCCCUGUGACAUCCACUGGAGGGCACACUAAUAAAUUGACUGCCCCUCUGACUUCCACUACAGGGCACACUAGCAAAUUGACUGCCCCUGUGACAUCUGCUGGAGGAGAUACUGGUAAAACAAAUGCCACUGUGAUGUCCUCUGCGGGGCAUACUAUUAAGGUGACUGCCUCUGUGACUACCACUGCAGGGCACACUAGUAAAACAACCUCUCUUGUGACUUCCACUGAAAGUCCCACCAGGUACACAACUGCCCCUAUGACUCCCACUGCAGGGCACAUUAGUAAAUUGACUGCCCCAGUGACGUCCACUGGAGGGCACACUAAUAAAGUCACUGCCCCUGUGACAUCUGCUAGAGGGCACACUAGUAAUACAACUGCCCCUGUGACUUCCACUGCAGGGCACACUAGUAAAACAAAUGGCCCUUUGACGUCCACUGCAGGGCUCAUUAGGAUAAUGUUUGACCCUGUGACUUCUACUGAAGGUCCCAAUAGUAACACCACUACCACUGUGACUACCACUGGAGGGCACACUAGUAAAACACCUGUCCCCCUGACUUCCACUGCAGGGCACACUAGCACAUUGACUGCCCCUGUGACAUCUGCUGGAGGAGACACUAGUAAAACAAAUGCCCCUGUUACAUCCGCUGGAGGGCAUACUAGUAAAUUCACUGCUCCUGUGACGUCCACUAAAGGGGACACUAGCAAAUUGACUGCCCCUGUGACAUCUGCUGGAGGAGACACUGGUAAAACAAAUGCCCCUGUGACGUCCGCUGGGGGGCACACUAUUAAGGCGACUGCCUCUGUGACUACUACUGCAGGGCACACUAGUAAAACAAAUGUCCCUGUGACUUCCACUGCAGGGCACACUAGUAAACUGACUGCCCCUGUGACAUCUGCUAGAGGAGACACUAGUAAAACAAAUGCCCCUGUGACGUCCGCUGCAGGGCAUACUAGGUACACAACUGCUCCUGUGGGUUUCACCGAAGGGCACACCAGUAAACCAACUGUCCCUGUGACCUCCACUGGAGGGCACACUAUUAAGACGGCUGCCCCUGUGACUACCACUGCAGGGCUCACUAGUAAAACAACUUCUCUUGUGACCUCCACUGAAGGUCCCACCAGUUACACAACUGGCCCUGUGACGUCCACUGGAGGGCACACUACUAAACCAACUGUCCCUGUUACUUCCACUGAAGGCUUGCCACUGUGA
rnacentral:lncRNA from 1 species